UGUUCCUGCAUUAUGUUUGUGGGGAGGUAGAGGUGUGGUGUGGUGUGUGUGUCUAUGUGAGGUGUCAUGGGUGUGUGUGUUGUGUGUUCCUGUGUUCCAUGUGUGAGUGGAGACCUGUAUGUAUGGGUCAUGGAUGUUGUGUAUUCCUGCAGUAUGUGUGUGGGGAGGUAUGGUGUGGUGUGUGUGCGGGGAAGUUUUGUGUGCGUGGCAUGUAUUGUGGACUCCUGUGUUAAGUGUGUGGGUAGGAGGUGUGUGUAUGGGUAUUUAAGUUCCUGUGUUGCGUGUGCGUGUGCAUAGGUGGUAAGCAGAGGCAGAGAAGGGAGCCAGCUGUUGUAGGCACCGAGGUCCACUAUGCUCACCCACAAUCCGUGAGAUGUCUGUGAGUGACUGCAUUGUGCAUGCACGUUCUAAUGCCUCAGGCUGGGGGUGUCAGCAGGGAUCGACCCCCGAGGAUGAUGACUGCUGGCAGCCUCCGCUCCCCAGCUCAGGGCAGGCAGGGCUUUGCUCUAGAUGGGACCACAGCAGGCUCAGGUCUUCUGCCUAUUGCCGGGUCAGCGCUCGCUGCUGGGAGGCUGGGUGGCUCACUCACAGGAGGGUGCUGGCAGUCCCCAUGCCUGGUGGCCUGGGGCUCCCCCGUCCUUCCACAUGUCUGGACAGUCCCAGUUCCACUCUAUCCCUGCCUUUCCUUCCAGCUCUAACCUUUGCUUUCUGGCUGCACACUGCCUCCGCCAUCCACUGCCAAAUGUUCAGUGGAAAACAAAAGAGUAGCCUUCAAGGAAUCUUGAGAGAGUAAUUAAGAUUUUUUUUUUUACAUAUUAAUUUCUUCAAGCCAAAUAAAGCCAACCGCAGACCUAAUGGGAGAUCUACUGAUGGCAGAGCAAGGUCCACCCCCAGCACCAGGAGCCAUAUCAGAAGGCCAGGGUCAAGUGAGAGGCUUCCUCUUCACUGAAAAAUCUAUCAUGGUCCUAUUCUUGUUGUCACCACUGCAAAGGAGCAGAACAAUCACGAGGAGCUACAAAUAAAGCGAAAUCGGGGAAUACAAGGUGCUUUCACAGGGGAAAAAAGCUAUAAUGCAUCUUCUUUGACUUCUCCCAUUUCCCCCCAUCCUCCUAAAGUGCCUGUCUGUUGCCUGUGCUCCUCAACCACAGCAUAAAAUAUGACUUUGAUACCAGAAAAAAAAAAAAAAGAAGCCAAAAAACCUGCUGCUCUCUCAGGCACAUUGACUCCAAUGGUGCUUCUGGAAGGCUAACCAGGUGGAAAUGUCAGUGGUUUCUCUGCACCUCUAAUCUCCAGGCAGAUGUGCCUGCCAGACAGCCCUGACUUCAAUCAGCCACGCUCGGCUGUGUCUGCUGGACAUCCAAAGAAGCUCCCACUGGUCCUAUGAAACUUGACCUCAUCAGCACAGCCUCUGAUGCACAUGGGCAAUACCAGGGCUGGG